rnacentral:rRNA from 1 species
GUGACCUACGGGAGGCAGCAGUGAGGAAUAUUGGUCAAUGGGCGGAAGCCUGAACCAGCCAAGUCGCGUGAGGGAUUAAGGCCCUAUGGGUCGUAAACCUCUUUUGUCAGGGAGCAAGGCCUCUCACGUGUGGGAGGUUGGAGAGUACCUGACGAAAAAGCAUCGGCUAACUCCGUGCCAGCAGCCGCGGUAAUACGGAGGAUUCGAGCGUUAUCCGGAUUUAUUGGGUUUAAAGGGUGCGUAGGCGGGACCUUAAGUCAUCGGUA